rnacentral:lncRNA from 1 species
AUCACCAUCAUGACUUAUAAGCAACUCAUUAUACUUUGAUACCAGACUAUCUGAAUUUCUAAUUCAGUGAUGGAAGAUCUUUGGGUAAGUCAAGUACUUAUCAAAUCAGUGUGUGAGUCAAGAUGGGAUUGACUCCUCCAAAUAAGUAGAAAUUAAUACAUCAGAGUAUUUCAACUUAGUAAAACCUUAGCCAGGGUAAUCCAUGUGAUAGAUUUAAAGGGUUGAAAUAUAAUGUGAUUGACCAUGUC